UGAGGAAAAGGAAGCUAUAACAAGGAGCCUCCUCCCCCCCCAGUUUGGCUGUCACACCUUUUCUUUUUGGGCAUCCAGCUAAAAAAUCCCUUCUUCUUCUUCUUUUUCUUCUCCUCUGUCUGUGUCCCUGGCGUGACAACUGUUCCCUCAUUGCUCUUAAUGUCUUCUUGACUCCUCUCAGAGUCCUGUUGUUGGAAGCGUUGGUUCUACUACAGUGGAUGGAAUAUGUUGAUUUGCUCACUUAAUUUUCAGCACUUGCAAGUUUGUCUUUAGUCAGUCACGAGAAUAGUAAAUCAGGGGGUGAUGUAAAAUGUCUGUGGGUUGCAGCACAUGUAGGGGCAAAGGGAAAUAUGUUGGUAGAUGAGUUGGCCGAGAAGGCUAUAAAGAAAGGUGAGAUAGAAAUGCAAAUUAGUAUCAGUAGAGCAAAGGUUACAUGUGUAAAGUUACUGGGAUAGUAAGUGGACAAAGUGUCAGGAAAAAGGUGGAAUAGGGUGCUUGGGUGGCUGACGGGAUAGGAACUGAACUGGACUGUCCGCUUUCUGGUCUUUUUGAAGGGAUUUACAGUCUGUCUAUUGACAGCUCACACUCCGGGCAGAGGGUGGCGGUAAUGCACCAAUAAGCCGCCGUCAAACAAGAAGAAUUAGUAAACAAGGAGCUCUUCAUUCGUCCAGAGAGGAAUGAUGAUGAUGAUGAUGAAAGAUUGUCAGAAACUAAAAACGGGUCGUGUUUAAAUGUUUCUUUCGUCGUUAGAUUUUGACACCGAGGCUUUGAAACAAGCUAAUCACAAAUAUACGGGUUUUUUUUUUCGUUUUGGAAUUACACAUGAAUUACGGAUUAUCCCAUGCUACUUGUUACAUAGUUUAUUUUUGUGCGUCCAUUAAAUCCUCAGAGAAACAUUUUUUUUUCCCACAGAUAAUGUAACAUUAACUUACUAGUGUUGUUGUAUCAAAGGCUCCACAGUAGGCCUCACGCUAUGCCUCGGUCUACAGUUGGCCUGUGAAUCCGCCAAAACAGUACUUGGAUCCAGCGACGUGUCGGCGAAGCAGCAGCGGGCUUUAGCUACCUCUUGUGAAAAAGGGCUGGCUUACAGACAUGCACCCGCCACCUCGACAGGAUUAUGUAUCUAUAAGUUUAGCUGGACAGGGAAGUGGAAGCUACAAUAACAGUAAACAGUGGAGGAGGCAGUCCUGCUGGAGGAAAUGGAAGCAGCUGUCCAGGCUGCAGCGGAGCCUCAUCCUCUUCGUCCUUGUUCUUCUGUUCAUUUGUGGAAUUGCUUCGUAUCCCGCUGUUACGGAGCACCUUAGCAGUAAGACUCUAAUACAUUUAACAUCACCUAUGCUAUCCCAUCACU